GCGGACGUGGCGAAACUGGUAGACGCAAGAGACUUAAAAUCUCUCGGCCCGAAAGGCUGUGCGGGUUCGAUCCCCGCCGUCCGCA
rnacentral:tRNA from 1 species